AUUCUCUACUAUUUCGCAAGUGCAUUCCAUUACGAAUGGAAACGUAGUUGAAGCUAGCACAGAAUAGUGUGAUAAACAAGCAUGGUUCGGAUCCCUGCAACAACACCAAGAGGAGUCAGAGCGGGAACGAGCCCGUCGACCUCGAUCUGUAUCCGAGUCCGGGCUUCAGGAGGCGGAGAGCUGGCACCAAUCUCGCAGGCAGAGCGGCGACUAGGAACUGCAGGAUCGUAGCAUUCGGCGCUUCACAGAACGGAAUCCCCCGACCCCAACGGACGAGGAGGAUGACAAAACAAAAUCGGACAAGCCACCAGCGUCAAAGAAAAAACUAUUUACAACUCAGACUGGUCGAAAAAAGAAAACUUUUCUGAAUGGGUUCACCAGAGGAAGACAGGAUAGCAAUAACGGAGCUUAGCAGUGUAUACCACGGAGUGCUUCGUGGCCACAGCUACUUAUCUACGGAUUGUGGCAAUAAAGUAAGUGCGAAAAAGAGGUGAGAAAUGUCAGUGUCAGUGAGUGCAACUGUGUGAGGGAGUGCGUCUGUGUCAGGACAAAUGUAGGUAAGAGAGGCAAUAGGGAGUCUUACAACUGUUAACAUACUAUAUGUGCAAAUAUGGUUUAAUCCCCCCCCCCCCCAAAAAAAAAAUAAAAUAAAAUAAAUAAUUGGUCCAAGUGUCCCGGUUUUUUUCAGAAAUCAGAGGUGGCAACCCUAUUAGGCAUAUCACAAGUGAUAUUAAUGUAAAUGAUAUGUAUAUGUCAAUCUGUAACCUAUGCAAUAGUACUAUGCAAGAUAUUGUUAAGGAAAAUUGGGAAGUGAAUGUUUUCCUUGUCAACUAAUGGUGUAAGUUG